rnacentral:lncRNA from 10 species
GCUUUCGAUACAGUGAGAAACCACAGCUUGGCCAACACCCAGGCAUUCAGCAAUAAAAUUCUGGUGCUGUGACUUGGAUUGCAGUGCUUGUGGCUCAGUGGCCACAGGCUAGAGAGAUCUGGAAACCCUCCCAGCAGCUGCCCAGCUAUAUUCAUCCAGAGGCGGGUUUUUGUUUCUCUCUCUUCCCUCACUGCUGCUGGCCCCAACCAUAUUCUUGAUUACUUAUGAAGGACAGGCUUUGAAAUUUGACAUCUGUAUCCAUCAAGCCCAGCUUGAGCUCUGCUUCAGAUAAUUUAAGAUGUACCAGGUGGCACUUCAGGCUAGAAAACUCUGUGGUCUCCCAGCAACUUAAAGGAAGAUUAGAGACGGGGUUUCACCGUGUUAGCCAGGAUGGUCUCAAACUCCUGACCUCGUGAUCCGCCUGCCUCGCCUCCCAAAGUGCUGGAUUACAGGCGUGAGCCACCGCGCCCUGCCACAAGUAAAUGCGGAAACUGAGGCACAGGGAAUUUGAACAACUUGCUCAAGGUCAUAAAGCUAGAAGGAGGCACAGCCAAGCAUGGGCUUGUGUGACCUCAAAGCCUAUGUUCUCGCCACUGCUCUAAACUGUUUAUUCUGUUGGCUUGUCAUAAUGAUUGAAGACAAUGUAUAUAAAUCACAGAGGGUAGGACUCAGCUUGUAAUAUGUCCUCCAUACAUUUUAUCGAACAUUAUUAAUUAAUAAACAACAGAUAAAUAACAACAGUGCUUUGUUUGAUUAAAUUAUAUAUAUGAUUAUAUUUCUUCAGUGAAAUUGUUGGUUAUGCAUUUCUUACAAAUAAUUCACAAAUAUUAAUGAAUGUCUGUGUUGCAGCAGGCAUUUUGCUCACCACGGUGGACCUGGGGGUAUGUGAAAUAGGCACCAUCUCUGCUCUCACAAAUUUAAUACGUGCAGGCUGCUGGAUUGGACUAAAGUCCUGAGGAGAACUAUAACAAUCUCUUAGAGGGAACAGUGAUUAAACAGGGAUCAAUUGUGCCACCCAUAUAGCCUUCCUACUUACUGAUCAAGAAUGAUAGCAGACCUUAGCAAGUGCAAAUCAACAAGAGGAAUCCAAUGGUGCUAUUCACUACUAUGAAGCUUUUCAUUUUGCCUCUUACUAAGAUUUCAAAGCUAUUCUUGCCCCCCACCCCACACAAAAACAAAUACUGUGCAAUCUCACUUACAUGUGGAAUCUGAAAAAGUUGAACUCGUAGAAGCAGAGAGUACAAUAGUGGGUGCCAUGGGCUGGGGGUGGAGGAAAUGGGAGAUGAUAGUCAAGGGUACAAACUUUCAGUUAUAAGAUGAACAAGUUCUGGGGCUCUAAUGUACACGAUGGGUGGUGAUGAAUGUUUUAAUUAAUUUGAUUAUUGUAAGAAUUACACAAUGUAUACAUUUAUCUAAUCAUCAUAUUAUAUACCUUGAAUAUAUUUGACCUUUAUUUCCCAAUUAAAUAUUUUAAAAUAAAAUAUAUUUAAA